GGAAAGCCAAAGGGGACCCCCGCUAAAAUACAUAUACUUAUAUAGUAAAUAUCGGGAUUUUCAUUUUUCGCGGAACUUUCACUUUCCGCGAAAAACCAAGGCCAGCAUAGCCAUGAAAUACUACAUACAAAUUGAAAUCUAAAAAGCGCGGAACUUUCAUAUAUUUUCCGUCGGAAUAAUUAUCUUUCAACCCCGUAGAGAAAGCGGGCUCAAAUAAUCGCGCGGAACCUUAAUACUGUCUACUCUGUACAAAAGUAGUGUAUAAAAUCGCGCGGACCUAAUCCACAAAGCGCGGAACACAAAUAUCUUCCGCGAAAAUUAAGCAUUGAAUUACUGUAUAAAUCUCGGGUUGCUAUGUAAAUUGCGGGUUGCUAAUGAAAAAUCGCGCGGAAGAUUCAUUACUCCGCGCGAUUUUCAAUAGCAUUGAAUUACUGCACGAAAUUCGGGUUGCUAUGUGGUUACGCGAUAAAAUUUGAUUGGUUCCGACACCUAGAAAGAACCAAUCAAAACUCGCGUCUUAUCCAGCAUUCACGCAGUCAUCAUGAUGACGGUUGUUUCACAUUAACACAAAACCUUUUAAGGGCGAAAAAGUGAUCAAUUUUGAUGACAUUAGCAAUGAGCUGUAGCACUGUUCCCAACUUGAACAUCAUCUUCUAUGUACAUACCUGAGGCAGAGCCAGCUUUCCCAUCUGCCAUCUGCUGUGGACAACCGAGUCAGAGCCAGCUUGCACGUCAUCUGUUGUGGACAUCGGUGUUAGAGCCAGCUUGCACAACCUCUAUUGUGGACAUCGGUGUUAGUGCUAGCUUGCACGUCAUCUGUUGUGAACAUCCGUGUAAGAGCCAGCUUGCACGUCAUCUCUUUUGGACAUCAGUAUUAGAGCCAGCUUGCACAUCCUCUGUUGUGGACAUCCGUGUAAGUGCUAGCUUGCACGUAAUCUGUUGUGGACAUCUGUGUUAGAGCCAGCUUGCACGUCAUAUGUUUAGGACAUCAGUCAGAGAUAGCUUGCAUGUUAUUUACUUGUGGACAUUAUUCAGAGCCAGCAAGGACAAUCUCUGUUGUGGAUAUCUGUCUAAGAGCUUGCACGUCAUCGGUUGUUCACAUCCUUGUAAUAACCAGCUUGCACAUCAACUGAUGUGGAAAUCUGAGUCAGAGCCAGCUUGCACAUCAUCCGUUGUGGACAUCUCUUUUUGAUUCUACUCUUUGCUUAGAUUGACACUGUGACUUUAGUGUAAUACGUUACAACCUUAAGCUAUUCCUAUUGUUGAAUAAAAAUAUUGUGUCAUUAAAAUAUAUUUUGUUGGAUAA